rnacentral:rRNA from 1 species
AGUGAAUGCUAAUGAAUCAUAGAUUUUUUAAAAUUCAUGAUGUCGUAAGGGAAAAUAAUGAUAAUACCUUACUAUGAGUGUCGUCCAAAUCUGGUGCCAGAAGACUCGGUAAGACCAGAGACGCAAACGUUAAUCAUCAUAAACAGGCGUAAAGGGUUUGUAGGCAGCUUUCACCAAACUAUGAUUACAAAAUAAAGUAGUUUAAUUGAAAGCUAGAAUCAAAAAGAGGUUAUAGUGUAUAACGCCUAGAGGAGGGCUGAUAUCCAUAGAUCCUAGGCAGAAUACUCAGGGCGAAGGCCACUCUCCACUACUGAUUGACGCUGAGAAACGAAGGUUAGGGUAGGAAAUAGGAUUAGAUACCCCGGUACUCCUUUCUGUAAACGAUGAAUGGUAGUCAUUAGUUUUAUAACUAGAGACGAAGUUAACACAAUAACCAUUCCGCCUUGUGAGUACUACUGCAAAGUAGAAAACAAAAAAAUUAGUCGGUCUCGAAGCAAACGGAGUGAAGCAUGUUAUUUAAUUCGUAA